GACGAACGCUGGCGGCGUGCCUAAUACAUGCAAGUCGAGCGAAGUUUUUCUGGUGCUUGCACCGGAAAAACUUAGCGGCGAACGGGUGAGUAACACGUAAAGAACCUGCCUUAUAGACUGGGACAACUAUUGGAAACGAUAGCUAAUACCGGAUAACAGCAUUAACUGCAUGGUUGAUGUUUGAAAGUUGGUUUUUCUAACACUAUGAGAUGGCUUUGCGGUGCAUUUGCUAGUUGGUGGGGUAAAGGCCUACCAAGGCGACGAUGCAUAGCCGACCUGAGAGGGUGAUCGGCAACACUGGGACUGAGACACGGCCCAGACUCCUACGGGAGGCAGCAGUAGGGAAUCUUCCGCAAUGGGCGAAAGCCUGACGGAGCAACGCCGCGUGAGUGAAGAAGGAUUUCGGUUCGUAAAGCUCUGUUGUUAGGGAAGAAUGAUUGUGUAGUAACUAUACACAGUAGAGACGGUACCUAACCAGAAAGCCACGGCUAACUACGUG
rnacentral:rRNA from 1 species